UCGUAACAAGGUCUCCGUAGGUGAACCUGCGGAGGGAUCAUUACACAAAUAUGAAGGCGGGCUGGAACCUCUCGGGGUUACAGCCUUGCUGAAUUAUUCACCCUUGUCUUUUGCGUACUUCUUGUUUCCUUGGUGGGUUCGCCCACCACUAGGACAAACAUAAACCUUUUGUAAUUGCAAUCAGCGUCAGUAACAAAUUAAUAAUUACAACUUUCAACAACGGAUCUCUUGGUUCUGGCAUCGAUGAAGAACGCAGCGAAAUGCGAUAAGUAGUGUGAAUUGCAGAAUUCAGUGAAUCAUCGAAUCUUUGAACGCACAUUGCGCCCUUUGGUAUUCCAAAGGGCAUGCCUGUUCGAGCGUCAUUUGUACCCUCAAGCUUUGCUUGGUGUUGGGCGUCUUGUCUCUAGCUUUGCUGGAGACUCGCCUUAAAGUAAUUGGCAGCCGGCCUACUGGUUUCGGAGCGCAGCACAAGUCGCACUCUCUAUCAGCAAAGGUCUAGCAUCCAUUAAGCCUUGUAUGGACUUUUGACCUCGGAUCAGGUAGGGAUACCCGCUGAACUUAAGCAUAUCAAUAAGCGGAG
rnacentral:rRNA from 1 species